rnacentral:rRNA from 1 species
UACGGGGGGGCAAGGCGUUAGUUCGGAAUUACUGGGCGUAAAGGGCUCGAUAGGCGGCCAACUAAGUCAGACGUGAAAUCCCCCGGCUCAACCGGGGAAACGGGCUGGGCAUACGUGGCGGCCUUGAGUCACUCAGGGGUCAGCGGAACAAACGGUGGAGCGGUGAAAUGGCGUAGAUAUCGUUUGGAACGCCGACGGCGAAAAGCAGCUGACUGGGAGUGAUG